AGCGAUGCUGGACAUUUUUGUUAAUUCUACCAAUCUUAAAGACAAAAGUUUCAUGUAAAAUCACAUGGGAAAACAUACGAAAGCAGGAACGAAACUAUAGCAUUAUAGAAAAAUAGUGAUCAUUUGUUUCUUUUUUUUUAAUUUCAUUUUACACGAUAAUAAGAGACUUCUUAGGUUUUUAUAUCUUCUUAAAUUUGUAUGCUGCAUAGUCUACGAACGUAGUGUAACGAGUAACACAUAUACAUAUCAGUAAAUGUACAGUGAUGCGCAAGGAGAGUGUGUUACAACGUUGUCAUUACUAUGUUACAGCUUCUUCCGCUAUUAAAAGGAAAGUUUUAUGCGUGAUCCUGCGUAAGUUCACAGACAGGAAAGCGUAUAAACGCGACAAGAACAGCGCCGAGCGUUUAUACAGGAGAAACUACAGCGCCCUCCAAAACAAAGGUCUGAAAUCUAAAUUCUUCCACUUUCUUGUAAUUUCCCUCGCUAUUAGUGGAAAAUUUUCAGUGGAUCUAUCCAAAUUUACGUGUAGCGAAACACUGAUGCAGCUACCACACUACAGACUACAGAUACUAAAACUACAGCAAUUCAAACGCGCGAAAAUAGAAUGCACAAGAAUAAGUGAGAUUAUGGGAAAAACCAAACGAUCUCUUAUCCUUACUUUGUUAUGGCCCUUUCCGCUAUUACGAGCAAGUUUUGCUUUGAUUCUGCCUAAAUCCGUCUGCAGAAAAGCAUACAAACGUGACAAGAAGAACAACGUACGAACGAACGUUUACGGACCUAUAGAGCCUUUCAAAAACAAUAUCUCCAUGUGUAAUAAUGUAUUUUCUUAAAUCCGCGCGAGCUUAUACGCGAACUAUAUGAUCACAUAUACAAAUUACAGAGAAUUAAAUGCAAAUUACCGAAAUUAAAGGCAAGAUGCAAAGAAGGAACAAGAGUUAAGGCAAAAGGGAAAAAAGGAGGUUAGUUUUGGUGGGAAAAAUAAUAUCUCCUGGCGUUCCAAUUUCCUCAAACCUUCGCGAGCGUAUUCGCAAGUCACACCGACGAGUAUUAUAGAGAACGAAAUUAAGUUUAGCGCAACGGGGUUAAAAUUCGUACAAAAGACAAGCGACGAAGCGAAAAGAAGGAAAGAAGGUUAGUUUGGGUGGCAGCGCGCGCAAGGCCGACCGCAAAGAACGGUGAGGGGAGGGAACGUUGGAUGCACGCGCAAAAUAAACGCGGUCUCGCGAUCGUAUAAAUAAAAGCGUGGUGGCGCGCGUGCAGCGGAGAUCUCUUGCUGGCGCGCGCGUACGCCCGGUGUGUCGCUUUGGAAUCCAGUUUGCCGGCAGUUUUUGCAAAACUCCCGGCGGCGUGCACGUCCGGAGCACUGAUUCCUGGACAACGUGACGCAAUUAUGCAACGUGCCACUCUUUGCCUCUCUUCUCUCCGUUCCUCCGUCACCGUUCGAUACCAUCGCUGACCUUGAGGCCCUCCGAACACCAGGCUGCUCUUCUAGGUGGCCUUGCCCGGUUCAUGCGACCACUCGCCGCAUCACGACGCGACCCUGGCCUCGGUCUUAGCCUCUAAGCGCCUGCUAUAUGGCUGGUUAUUGAAAUAAAUCGGCAUAACGCCUCGUUCCCGCCCCCUUUAUUCCGAUUUCGUCGUAUAAAACGAUCUUACCGUGCCUUCGAGUGAAACGACGCAUCAUUCUACCAGGGGAUUAAAAGAACGAACGCAACCAGGGGAUAAACGCAGCGUGGAAUUCGGCAUUUAUCCGGUAUUUACGCUUCGUACACCGAUAACAUACGUAACAGUUCGGUGUACGGAUUUCUCGGACACGCUAACGGGCCAAACAAGCUAAUUUAAUCGAUCGUUCAAACGCUCGAAGGGUUGUUAAGAACGAGACAUUAUUAUCAACGCGAGACGCGUCGUGCAGGCUCGCGGAUUUUUCGACUUAUUAUUAGCUGACGCGGCGGAAUGCUCAUCCGCCUUGGACCCCACUCGCUGGUAGGAUUCUUUGAGAGGCGUUUUUCUUGUUGGCAAUGGCGUCGUAGACACGGCGGAUAUUAUUAAAUGCAAUUUAGUGAGUCGUUCUUGUACAUUGUUGGCGCUUACUUUGGAUUAUGGCUUGUUUUGUGCUGCACAGUGUCGGAAUUAGCUGUUUCUGCAUCGUUUGACUAAGAGUCGGGGAAAUGCGUACUAAACUGUUUCGUUUGCAGAUGUGGAAUAUGGUUUGUGAAUAAGAUAUUUCGUUCAACCUUGGUCACAGUUGAUAUCUUUGUUACCUUUGCAGCUUGGAAGAAUAAUCAAAACAUAGUGAUUAAACGUAUUCUUGGGUUUUUGAAGACAAUGUUAUAAUUAACAAGUUGGUACCUGGUAAAGUAGUACUAUUUAACAUUUUUAUUCUGUCGUCAUUCUUUCUGAUUGAAAUUAAACAAUAUAUUUGCUUUGGAUCUUUUAAUCGUUACGCUUUUACGCAAUCUUUCCCCGUUUUUCUAUUGUCUUGCCACGUAACUAGCUUUACACACGCAGAAGCAAAGUUUAGAUUAUGUAAAAACACAAUCUCACGUCGUUAAAUAAUCACGCUACUAGGAACACAAUAAAACUGUACAAUAAUCGAAACUAUAACAAUAAUUGAAAAUAUACGCCGAUAAGUUUCCCAAUUAAAAAAUCUCGUUAUUUUCACAAUAUCAAAAUAGCUGUUAAAAAAGGUUGAAUAAUCCGAACUUACGCAAAACGCCAUUAAUCAUUCGUCGAUCAACACAUUUGCUACGGCUAUUCGCGUGUCCCCGGGCAAAACUUAUCCUGUCGUUCGUAGCUGAAAUUUAAAUCUUAUUUAUGGUGUCAGGUGUUACUAAAGAUAUUAUUUGACUUUUUAACUGAUAUAGUUCAUUUACAACGGACGCCUAAUCAGAAGGUACGCGCACGGCAGAAAUAUCCGCGGUAUUGCCAACAGCAAGGCGCGUUUCCAUGCAGCAAACGCAAUACAGCCUCGCGUUCGACUGCAUUGUAUGUUAAAGUGUUAAUGUAUAGCAUUACGUGCAAAUUACAGGUGGCUCGACACGAAUCAUGAAUCUAGAACUGUUAAUUUACAUGCUGCAUGAAGUAUCGAUCUUGUCGCAGAUAGUGGUUAACUGGAUUACCUAAUGCGAUUUUCAUUUCUUUUUCCCAGCAAUCGAUCGUUUAGCAUCUUGCGUGAAUAACGUAACUUCUUUCGCGAUCUUUUUCCGGUUUUCUUUUCAUAGCAGCCUUUUUUUCGAAUAACAGGGAAAUGUUAAGAAUAUGUUGCAGUUUCUGCUGACAUUGUUUAUGAACUUUAUUCAGUAAUUAUGGGCUAAUAUAAUAAGGUUAAUGUAUGGUAACUUUUGAAUGAGAAUAAAAAUCGAUAACACAAUUUUACUACAAUUUUAAAACAUAAUUCUAUACAUACAGUGGUUAAAGAAAUAAUUAGCGCACGCUCUUAUUUUCCAACGAGUUUUAGAAUCUUUUAUUAAUCAGAUUCUACGUUUCACUUUCACAGUAUCAAAUUUUCGUAGUCUUGUGCAGGUACCACUAAAUGAUACGAAAUAUGAUAUACUUAAGCCUAAUUAAUCACCAUGUAAACAUUACAAUAAUACAAAUUUUAUACUACUAAUAAUAUCCCUCGUAUCGUACUAGAAUAUUAUAAUUAAGAACGUAAAGCAUUGCAACAUCGUGAGUAGUAAGAAACGUGAGUUAAGGAAACUUGAGAGAAUGUAAACUCUCCGCUAAGAUAUCGUAAAUUAAUAAACUUUAAAUUAAUCCUCUUAACCCUCUUGCAUCACGUAGACUGUAAAUUCAUGAAACACGCGAUUGGUUACUCUUAUAACUAUUUAUGCAUCGUAUAAAUACACAACAAAUAAAAUUUAAUCUUGCUAACUGUACAUAAGUAUGCAAUCGCAAUUGUAUUAAUUUCGACCGACAGAAAUUCGCUUAAUUGGGUUUUAACUGAAAUUUUGUUUUAAUAAAUGUUCUUUAUACGCAACGCGGAUAUAUCGAGAGAAUGAUGGUAGCUGGUUUGGCAAAUCUAUACUUCCUGUGCGGUUACCAAGAGAUCUGGCAAGAGCUAUCAGAGUGGACCUGUCGCCAACGUUAAUAAGGCGCCGAUAUGACGCCAGCGUGCGAUUUAAAACACCAUUUUCGUGGCACAGGCCGUUAUGAGAUACCGGUAUGCCGGCCGAUCCAGACACAGGCAGCUUCUGUUUUCGGCAAUGAGGAUGUCAGACAAGUUACGACACGGCCAGCAGGUGUUACGACCGGACAGCCAGUUCAGGAGGCCCAGAAACUCGAACAGUGCCAGGGUGUACGGAGGCUCGCGACUACCAAGUGCAUUCUGAUACGCGAGGGAAGGUGGAGGAGGCGGCGGAAUGGCUAGGAUCUCUCUGCGGUCUGCUACAUCUAUUUAUAGCGUACGCCAUGCUAAUGCAUGUGCGCCUAUGCACCACGCUAACACCACGUCCCAAGCAUAACGGGCUUUUACAUGCUGCACUGGAUAUUCCACGUGGACUCCCCUCCUCCUACGUCGCAGCGCUGCCCCUUUCUCCAAGGAUCGCCUGUUUCUCGUGGGCUCCGCCGCCGUUGUCCGCGGAGGUCUCAUCCCGGCCAUACACGCGUGCGAACGCACGUGCGCCUGGCUCGAAGAGGAACGCACCCAGAGAGCCCGCGUUCUUCGAGAUUUAUGCACGGGCGCAGGUCCCCCUGUGUAAAAGACGAGCUCGCGCGCGCGUAGGCUUUUCCGGUCACACUGCGGUCAACCUGACUCUUAAAAUGCUGUUGAACUCGAUUUUUAUUGAUCCUCUUCACUUCGUCCAGUUCCAAGUAUUCUUUUACACGUGGCGAAAUAGAGCUGUGCCUGAGAGACCUCUUGCACGAUAAUUUACCGAAUAAUUGUAUUUUUGUGGAUCGGGUGAGUGACAAGUCGUAGAUGACGAAGAUUGUUAGGGUUUUACGCGGUUCUUUUUUUUUUUUUUAUUUUAUAUCGAACAGUAGAAGUAGGAUAGACGUAGAAUAGGUACGUCAUUUCAGUUGAUCUAUCGCUAAAGUAUCGUUGUUACAGUGACAACUUAUUCGCGCCGCUUGUAACUUGUGACUUAUACAAUUUUGGUGGUAAUAUCGACCCAAAUAAGUUCGGCAAGAGGGCCCAGGCCCGAGGAGUAGUAUCUCCGAAGAUCUCUGAAGAAUAUUACAGCUUUUGGUAUAUAAUGUCGUGGACAAUUGUUUGAAUCAAUGCAACGUAUUUACAUACCUAUUGUACGCUUGGUGAAAAUCAAACACCUGCUAAGAAUUACAUGAGGAAAGGACGAAUUAAUUGACUAAAGAGCACAAGAUACGCAACUAUGAUGGAAGAUGAAUGUGGGAUAUAAAUCCACCAUAAUAAAGAAUCGUUAAUUUUUA